AUUGAACGCUGGCGGCAUGCUCUACACAUGCAAGUCGAACGGUAACAGGCCGCAAGGUGCUGACGAGUGGCGAACGGGUGAGUAAUGCAUCGGAACGUGCCCAGUCGUGGGGGAUAACUACUCGAAAGAGUAGCUAAUACCGCAUACGAUCUAUGGAUGAAAGCGGGGGACCGUAAGGCCUCGCGCGAUUGGAGCGGCCGAUGUCAGAUUAGGUAGUUGGUGGGGUAAAGGCUCACCAAGCCAACGAUCUGUAGCUGGUCUGAGAGGACGACCAGCCACACUGGGACUGAGACACGGCCCAGACUCCUACGGGAGGCAGCAGUGGGGAAUUUUGGACAAAGGGCGCAAGCCUGAUCCAGCAAUGCCGCGUGCAGGAAGAAGGCCUUCGGGUUGUAAACUGCUUUUGUACGGAACGAAACGGCUCUGGUUAAUACCCGGGGCUAAUGACGGUACCGUAAGAAUAAGCACCGGCUAACUACGUG
rnacentral:rRNA from 1 species